AACUAGAGUUAUGUAGAGGUUAGCGGAAUUCCUUGUGAAGCGGUGAAAUGCGUAGAUAUAAGGAAGAACACCAACAUGGCGAAGGCAGCUAACUGGACAUACACUGACACUGAGAGACGAAAGCGUGGGGAGCAAACAGGAUUAGAUACCCUGGUAGUCCACGCCCUAAACGAUGAUCAUUAGCUGAUGGGGAACUCAUCGGCGCAGCUAACGCAUUAAAUGAUCCGCCUGAGUAGUACGUUCGCAAGAAUAAAACUUAAAGGAAUUGACGGGGACCCGCACAAGCGGUGGAGCAUGUGGUUUAAUUUGAAGAUACGCGUAGAACCUUACCCACUCUUGACAUCUUCCGCAAAGCUAUAGAGAUAUAGUGGAGGUUAACGGAAUGACAGAUGGUGCAUGGUUGUCGUCAGCUCGUGUCGUGAGAUGUUCGGUUAAGUCCUGCAACGAGCGCAACCCCUAUCCUUAGUUACUAACAUUUAGUUGAGCACUCUAAGGAGACUGCCCGAGUAAUCGGGAGGAAGGUGGGGACGACGUCAAAUCAUCAUGCCUCUUACGAGUGGGGCAACACACGUGCUACAAUGGCCGAUACAAAGUGAAGCAACCCAGCGAUGGUAAGCAAACCACAAAAAAUCGGUCUCAGUUCGGAUUGGAGUCUGCAACUCGACUCCAUGAAGUCGGAAUCGCUAGUAAUCGUAGAUCAGCUACGCUACGGUGAAUACGUUCUCGGGUCUUGUACACACCGCCCGUCAAACCAUGGGAGCUGGUAAUGCCCGAAGUCGGUUUAUUAACAAACUGCCUAAGGCAGGACUGGUGACUGGGGUUAAGUCGUAACAAGGUAUCCCUACGAGAACGUGGGGAUGGAUCACCUCCUUU
rnacentral:rRNA from 1 species